rnacentral:sRNA from 1 species
GCAUUUCUUUGAUGCAGAUUUCCAUCUCAUUUCUCUUCUUGCUUUAAGGUAGUCAAUCUUUCAAAGACAUGGUUACCAUAAGCAUCUUUUGAUCAAAUCUUGAGAAAAGGAUUCCCAAUUUGAAUUUGGGUUCAUUUGGCACCAAGAAUUUCAAACCAUUGCAUGGCCAAACCCUUCGUGCCCAUGAAUGCAUAUUGCAGCUUAUGGAAUGACUGAAUUUCUUGUACCUCAGAAAUUUUCAGCCCUAGCAAUCAACCAAUUGGGUCUGCCCCUAUAGAUGCUGGCAGCUCCAUCCUCUUGUCCAAACAUGAACUUCAUCUCCAACACUGCCUGUCCCUUGAAGAUCCGGCAAGUUGUAGGAAUUACAACAAGAAAAGAGAAAGAUUUUUUUAUUGAAUAGGAUGAAAAGAACAAGAAAUACCAUAACUCUCUCACCUCCAAGGUUUGCCCUUCACAAAGGAUUUCUCCUUUCAUAAAGUGUCAAAGUUCAAUCUCCAAAUGAACAUAUAUAAAUCCUUGCAUUUAUUUAACUUAUUAACUCCCUAACCAGUAAUAUCCUACCUGUAUUAACUAUCCCUUUCUCAUAAUCCUAAUAGGUUGAUGUUUACGUUACAUAUGAAACCUUGUUCUUAUUAUCAAUUUAUGUUAUUCAUGACUCUUCAUUUUACUGCAGACGGGACCACUGGCUGCUUAUUAUAAGCUACCCCUUAGUCAAGUGCUUGUGUUCCAUGAUGACAUGACCUUGCCAUGUGGGGUGCUUCGUCUUUAUGACAAAGGGGGUCAUGGAAGCCACAAAGGGUACAAUACUAAAUGAUAAUUCUGAAGUUAAAUUAAUACUAUCUUCAUCCUGAAGUCUUUUUCACAUUGACCAUAAGAAAUUGGUUACUAAUCCAAGUACCUACUGCCCUAGAGAUAUUGUGGUGUUUAUUAUGCAUCACUAGAUUAUGUAAUUCACUAAUUUCCGAACCCAAUAGUUAUCUAUGUUGAAAUUAACAUGUAUAUGUUAUUGGAAACAUAAUCAAAUUCACAUCACUUUGGAAGUAGGUUCUACGUUUUGUUAUAAUGAAAAAAUAGAUGGAGUAAGCCAAAUUACAUAACAUUGUGGUACAUCAACAUUACUGUGAAUGACUGUGAAAUUUCAUAAAACAAUGUGGAUAUCAUAAGAGUCAUGAUUAGGUUGCAUCUUGGUUUGUGAUUUGAGGGGCAAAUAACCCAUCACCAAUAAACUUUCCCCCCUCAAUCAGACAUUGAUAGGAUAUAGAUUGAAAGAGAGAAAAAAAACUGAUACAUAUAUAUUGAAGGAUUCCCUUGCAACCUGAGGAGGAAUCCUCUGUUAUAGUAAACAAAUGACAUGAAUGUAGUGAAGUCCUUAGAAGAUGCUAAAUAGGAAUUAGAGCAAAAUAAAAAUGUGGUUCGUUUAGUGUUCACAAAAUAAUAAAUACUAAAUAAAAAGAAAAACCGCCCACGGCACUACCGAUGUCCCACAUCCGUUUCGCCUUCAAACAGAUGUGCGACAUCCGUCGACAGAUAUGGGACAUCCCUUUCAGUGCCAAACGAAUGUGCGACAUCCGUUCUGGCGCUCCGGUCAUCUUCUUCACAUAAACACCAUGACACAGUGAACACUAAACGAACCCACAACACCCAUCCGGGAUCAAAACAAUCCAGCAAACCAAACAUACAACACACAUUCAUAUUCAAUUAGAAAUAUCUAAACAAAACUAACCUUCAGCACCAACUUUCUCCACCCACGAAUGCACCACCGACGAACCACCAACGUACCACCACCUCCACACCACCGCAACACGGACACCCACACCACCAACGGAUCUCCAACGGAUAUGGACGACACCAAACAAAUCUGGAUGAUGAGAAGAAACUGCGCCGAAAACAGAGAAGAGAAUGAGAGACGAAUGUGAGAAGAGAGUGAGACAGAAAGGGGGAUGCGGCUAACUGAAUGAGAGGAGAGAUGGAAUUAUUUACGGUUUUAAGAUUAAAAUAAAAAGUAAAAAUUUAAAGAGCCAUUUUAUCAUUAAAAAUUUUAUGGGAGGUGCAGAGAGAAUCGGUGAUGGUGG